GGACUACUAGGGUAUCUAAUCCCAUUCGCUCCCCUAGCUUUCGUCCCUCAGUGUCAGUUGCGGUCUAGCAGAGCGCUUUCGCCACCGGUGUUCUUCCUGAACUCUACGCAUUUCACCGCUACACCAGGAAUUCCCUCUGCCCCUACCGCACUCUAGCUUUGAAGUUUCCACUGCCUUUAUUUGGUUGAGCCAAACUCUUUGACAGCAGACUUUCAAUGCCACCUGCGAACGCUUUACGCCCAAUCAUUCCGGAUAACGCUUGCAUCCUCCGUAUUACCGCGGCUGCUGGCAC
rnacentral:rRNA from 1 species